AGAAUCGGUGGAUUUAAACUUUGA
rnacentral:rRNA from 1 species